rnacentral:rRNA from 1 species
AGAGUUUGAUCAUGGCUCAGGAUGAACGCUGGCGGCGUGCUUAACACGAUGCAAGUCGAACGGAGUUUUUAACGGAAGUUUCGGAUGGAAGUUAAAACUAGUGGCGGACGGGUGAGUAACGCGUGGGUAACCUGCCUACAGUACAGGGGGAUAACAGUUAGAAAUGACUGCUAACACCGCAUAAUAUAGCGAAACCGCAUGAUUUUGCUAUCAAAUAUUUAUAGGUAUGAGAUGGGCCCGCGUCUGAUUAGCUAGUUGGUGGGGUAAAAGCCUACCAAGGCGACGAUCAGUAGCCGGCUUGAGAGAGUGACCGGCCACAUUGGGACUGAGACACGGCCCAAACUCCUACGGGAGGCAGCAGUGGGGAAUAUUGGACAAUGGGGGAAACCCUGAUCCAGCGAACCGCCGCGUGAGUGAAGAAGUAUUUCGGUAUGUAAAGCUCUAUCAGCAGGGAAGAUAAUGACAGUACCUGACUAAGAAGCCCCGGCUAACUACGUGCCAGCCGCUGC